CGCAGCCGCGGUAAUUCCAGCUCCAAUAGCGUAUAUUAAAGUUGUUGCAGUUAAAAAGCUCGUAGUUGAAUUUCGGGGUUAGUAGGUUGGUCAUGCCUCUGGUAUGUAACUGGUCUCACUGAUUCCUCCUUCCCCAUGAGCCGUAAUGCCAUUAAUUUGGUGUUGCGGGGAAUUUGGACUGUUACUUUGAAAAAAUUGAGUGUUUAAAGCAAGCUAACGCUUGAAUACAUUAGCAUGGAAUAAUGAAAUAGGACGUUCGAUCCUAUUUUGUUGGUUUCUAGGAUUGACGUAAUGAUUAAUAGGGAUAGUUGGGGGCAUUAGUAUUCAAUUGUCAGAGGUGAAAUUCUUGGAUUUAUUGAAGACUAACUACUGCGAAAAGCAUUUGCCAAGGAUGUUUUCAUUAAUCAAGAACGAAAGUUAGGGAUCGAAGACGAUCAGAUACCGUCGUAGUCUUAACCAUAAACUAUGCCGACUAGGGAUCGGAUGAUGUUAAUUUUUAAUGUACUCAUUCGGCGCCUUACGGAACCU
rnacentral:rRNA from 1 species